rfam:Nomascus leucogenys chromosome 5, whole genome shotgun sequence.
GCCAGGCGUGGUGGUGCAUGCCUGUGUUCCCAGUUACUCGGGAGGCUGAGGUGGGAGGUUCACUUGAGCCCAGGAGUUUAGGGCUACAGUGAGCUGUGAUUGUGCCACUGUACUCCAGCCUGGGCGACAGAGUAAGACCCUGUCUCAA